CCAGUAUAAUAGCAAACAAUGCAAAAAAAAGGUAGAUAAACAACAGUAGCAUUAUCUCUCCCACUACCACCACCAGGCAGAGUAAGUGGGAUAUUGAUUAUAGUGUCAACAGUCAACAGAGGCAAUGUGUACAGGGACAGCAACCCACUCUGGAAAAAUUUGUUGGCUUUCAUGGGCCAUGAUAAAACAGUAUUUUAAAAAA